UUUUACCAAAUAUCGUGUGUUGUGAAUUGGAAUUAAGCUCCUGUUGGCCAAAAUCCUCAAUUGUUAUCAGGGAGGUCUAUCCAAAUUACUGACGGAAUCAACAUCUAUCAACCAUCUUCUUCAACAUCUAUCAAACAACAGCGGCGCCAAGAACGCUAUACUUGCAGACGUCCGACCGACCACCCUUUGCGGUCUAUAUGUUGUGCGGCAUGUGAACUACACAGACCAAGCGCAAAUUCAAUGAAGGAAUUCCGUCAAAAAGGAGUUGAUUAUGAAUAUGAUACAGAAUCCAAGGAGGAAGAGAUAAAUGCGCAAUUACCAAAAUCAAAUAUUCAUCUUCGACUACUUCGAUUUCGACUUCAACAGAAAAAAAUUAAGAA